UCCGAAGUAGCUCAGUGGUAGAGCAUCCGGCUGUUAACCGGCAGGUCGUAGGUUCGAGUCCUACCUUCGGAG
rnacentral:tRNA from 1 species